rnacentral:rRNA from 1 species
GACGAACGCUGGCGGCGUGCUUAACACAUGCAAGUCGAACGGAAAGGCCCUGCAUUUGUGGGGUGCUCGAGUGGCGAACGGGUGAGUAACAAGUGAGUAACCUGCCCUUGACUUUGGGAUAACUUCAGGAAACUGGGGCUAAUACCGGAUCGGAGCUCCUGCUGCAUGGUGGGGGUUGGAAAGUUUCGGCGGUUGGGGAUGGACUCGCGGCUUAUCAGCUUGUUGGUGGGGUAGUGGCUUACCAAGGCUUUGACGGGUAGCCGGCCUGAGAGGGUGACCGGCCACAUUGGGACUGAGAUACGGCCCAGACUCCUACGGGAGGCAGCAGUGGGGAAUAUUGCACAAUGGGCGGAAGCCUGAUGCAGCAACGCCGCGUGCGGGAUGACGGCCUUCGGGUUGUAAACCGCUUUCGCCUGUGACGAAGCGUGAGUGACGGUAAUGGGUAAAGAAGCACCGGCUAACUACGUG